CCUACGGGGGGCAGCAGUGGGGAAUAUUGCACAAUGGGGGAAACCCUGAUGCAGCGACGCCGCGUGAGUGAAUAAGUGUUUUGGCAUGUAAAGCCCUAUCGGCAGGGAAGAAGCAAGACGGUACCUGACUAAGAAGCCCCGGCUAACUACGUGCCAGCAGCCGCGGUAAUACGUAGGGGGCGAGCGUUAUCCGGAUUCACUGGGUGUAAAGGGAGCGUAGACGGCAAUGCAAGCCAGGGGUGAAGGCCCGGGGCCCACCCCCGGGACUGCCCUUGGAACUGCAUGGCUGGAGUGCGGGAGGGGCAGGCGGAAUGUCUGGUGUAGCGGUGAAAUGCGUAGAUAUCAGGAGGAACACCGGCGGCGAAGGCGGCCUGCGGGACCGCGACUGACGUUGAGGCUCGAAAGCGUGGGGAGCGAACAGGAUUAGAUACCCCAGUAGUC
rnacentral:rRNA from 1 species